AUUGACGCUGGCGGCAGGCCUAACACAUGCACGUCGAGCGAGUGGCGGACGGGUGAGUAAUGUCUGAGAAACUGCCUGAUGGAGGGGGAUAACUACUGGAAAAGGUAGCUAAUACCGCAUACCAUCAGAUUUGCCCAGAUGGGAUGAGCUUGUAGGUGAGGUAAUGGCUCACCUAGGCGACGAUCCCUAGCUGGUCUGAGAGGAUGACCAGCCACACUGGAAAUGAGACACGGUCCAGAUGCCGACGUGAGGCAGCAGUGGGUAAUAUUGCACAAUGGGCGAAAGCCUGAUGCAGCCAUGCCGCGUGUAUGAAGAAGGCCUUCGGGUUGUAAAGUACUUUCAGCGGGGAGGCGUUACCCGCAGAAGAAGCACCGGCUAACUCCGUGCCAGCAGCCGCGGUAAUAC
rnacentral:rRNA from 1 species